UAAUACGGAGGGUGCAAGCGUUAAUCGGAAUUACUGGGCGUAAAGCGCGCGUAGGCGGAUGAUUAAGUCUCAUGUGAAAGCCCUGGGCUCAACCUGGGAACUGCCUGGGAUACUGGUCGUCUAGAAUACAGUAGAGGGUAGUGGAAUUUCAGGUGUAGCGGUGAAAUGCGUAGAGAUCUGAAGGAACAUCAGUGGCGAAGGCGACUACCUGGACUGAUAUUGACGCUGAGGUGCGAAAGCGUGGGGAGCAAACGGGAUUAGAUACCCCGGUAGUCCACGCCGUAAACGAUGUCAACUAGUUGUUGGUCUUAUAAAUAAGAUUAGUGACGAAGCUAACGCGAUAAGUUGACCGCCUGGGGAGUACGGCCGCAAGGCUA
rnacentral:rRNA from 1 species